UACGGGGGGAGCAAGCGUUGUUCGGAUUUACUGGGCGUAAAGGGCGCGUAGGCGGUCGUGACAAGUCACUUGUGAAAUCUCCGGGCUUAACUCGGAACGGUCAAGUGAUACUGUCGGACUAGAGUACUGAAGGGGCAACUGGAAUUCUCGGUGUAGCGGUGAAAUGCGUAGAUAUCGAGAGGAACACCUGCGGCGAAGGCGGGUUGCUGGGCUGAUACUGACGCUGAGGCGCGAAAGCCAGGGGAGCGAACGGG
rnacentral:rRNA from 1 species